rnacentral:rRNA from 1 species
UGGGGAAUAUUGCACAAUGGGGGAAACCCUGAUGCAGCAACGCCGCGUGAAGGAUGAAGGCCUUUGGGUCGUAAACUUCUGUUCUAAGGGAAGAUAGUGACGGUACCUUAGGAGCAAGUCCCGGCUAACUACGUGCCAGCAGCCGCGGUAAUACGUAGGGGGCAAGCGUUAUCCGGAAUUAUUGGGCGUAAAGAGUACGUAGGUGGUUUUCUAAGCACGGGGUUUAAGGCAAUGGCUUAACCAUUGUUCGCCUUGUGAACUGGAAGACUUGAGUGCAGGAGAGGAAAGCGGAAUUCCUAGUGUAGCGGUGAAAUGCGUAGAUAUUAGGAGGAACACCAGUGGCGAAGGCGGCUUUCUGGACUGUAACUGACACUGAGGUACGAAAGCGUGGGGAGCAAACAGG